CCCUUAGACGUUCUGGGCCGCGCGCGCGCUACACUGACCGGUGCAACAAGCAUCCGUCCUUGGCCGACAGGCCCGGGCAAUCUUUGAACGCCGGUCGUGAUGGGGAUAGACUUUUGCAAUUUUUGGUCUUCAACGAGGAAUUCCUAGUAAACGCAAGUCAUCAACUUGCAUUGAUUACGUCCCUGCCCUUUGUACACACCGCCCGUCGCACCUACCGAUUGAAUGGUCCGGUGAAGCCUCCGGAUUGGCGCGCACCUCGGUGCCGCCGAGAAGUUGGCUAAACCUUACCAUUUAGAGGAAGGUGAAGUCGUAACA
rnacentral:rRNA from 1 species